rnacentral:rRNA from 1 species
GACGAACGCUGGCGGCGUGCUUAACACAUGCAAGUCGAACGGAAAGGCCCUGCUUGCAGGGUACUCGAGUGGCGAACGGGUGAGUAACACGUGGGUGAUCUGCCCUGCACUUCGGGAUAAGCCUGGGAAAGUGGGUCUAAUACCGGAUAGGAGCCAUUUUUAGUGUGAUGGUUGGAAAGUUUUUUCGGUGUAGGAUGAGCUCGCGGGCUAUCAGCUUGUUGGUGGGGUAAUGGCCUACCAAGGCGGCGACGGGUAGCCGGCCUGAGAGGGUGGACGGCCACAUUGGGACUGAGAUACGGCCCAGACUCCUACGGGAGGCAGCAGUGGGGAAUAUUGCACGAUGGGCGCAAGCCUGAUGCAGCGACGCCGCGUGGGGGAUGACGGUCUUCGGGUUGAAAACUCCUUUCGCUAGGGACGAAGCUUUUUGUGACGGUACCUAGAUAAGAAGCCCCGGCUAACUACGUG